GACGAACGCUGGCGGCGUGCUUAACACAUGCAAGUCGAACGGAAAGGCCCUGCUUUUGUGGGGUGCUCGAGUGGCGAACGGGUGAGUAACACGUGAGUAACCUGCCCUUGACUUUGGGAUAACGUCAGGAAACUGGGGCUACUACCGGAUAGGAGCUCCUGCUGCAUGGUGGGGGUUGGAAAGUCUCGGCGGUUGGGGAUGGACUCGCGGCUUAUCAGCUUGUUGGUGGGGUAGUGGCUUACCAAGGCUUUGACGGGUAGCCGGCCUGAGAGGGUGACCGGCCACAUUGGGACUGAGAUACGGCCCAGACUCCUACGGGAGGCAGCAGUGGGGAGUAUUGCACAAUGGGCGGAAGCCUGAUGCGGAAACGCCGCGUGCGGGAUGACGGCCUUCGGGUUGUAAACCGCUUUCGCCUGUGACGAAGCGUGAGUGACGGUAAUGGGUAAAGAAGCACCGGCUAACUACGUG
rnacentral:rRNA from 1 species